rnacentral:lncRNA from 1 species
UUUUUUUUUUUUGUGACGAGCUCAUCAAACGUCCAAACACUUUGAAAUUUUGCACGCACCUAGAAGAUUCUCUGAACUUUCAUGUGUAAAAAUUUCAGAUAUUUUUGAAUUUAUUGCUAUUUUUUUGAAUUUAUUGUUCAUCGGGAGUAGAUGAGCCUGGGCACCGUUUUGAAUUAUCGGUAUAAUAUGAACUUCUUCUGAAAAAACGUCCAUGUGUCUAGCUUCAUACAUUGCUCGCACCUAUAGAGAAGUUAAAUUCUAUUGAGCUACCAACAUAUGGUGCUUAGCACUUUUCUUGGUAACGAGCUUGAGGCGGCCUGUGAAACCUUCGUUUUUCCCCUAAGAGCAUCUCCAAUAGAAAAUUUAGAUGUAAAAACAGCUAACUUUUAAAUCCCCGAGGCCUAAAAACUCAUCUCCAACAGAUCAUAUAGAUGUAAAACAAUUUACAUCACCUCCUCUAAGUGAUGUAAAAUACAAAACUUGAAGAUGAAAAUUUGCAUCACCAACCGCCUGGUGAUGUAUAUAGCCCACCUCGUCGCCGCUGGUCCUGUUGCAUUUUGCCUCNNNNNNNNNNNNNNNNNNNNNNNNNNNNNNNNNNNNNNNNNNNNNNNNNNNNNNNNNNNNNNNNNNNNNNNNNNNNNNNNNNNNNNNNNNNNNNNNNNNNNNNNNNNNNNNNNNNNNNNNNNNNNNNNNNNNNNNNNNNNNNNNNNNNNNNNNNNNNNNNNNNNNNNNNNNNNNNNNNNNNNNNNNNNNNNNNNNNNNNNNNNNNNNNNNNNNNNNNNNNNNNNNNNNNNNNNNNNNNNNNNNNNNNNNNNNNNNNNNNNNNNNNNNNNNNNNNNNNNNNNNNNNCCCCAUAGCAACAUGCCGAGCGCUGCCGCCCCACCCCGCCUCAGUUGAAGCUCCCCCGCCGCCCGAUCCGAGUUUCACCUGCGUGUUUCGAGCUCUGCCGCCGCCCCGCCCCGCUCCUUGUCUCGAUUUGAAGCUCGGCCGCCUGAUUCAAGCUCCGCCGUCGGCGCCCGUCUCAGCUCGACGCUCAGCCGCCGCCAUGCUGCCGAAGAAAGUGUCGAAGAGCAAGACCGGCUUCUUAGGGGUGCGGAAGAAGCCGUCUGAGAACUUCGGUGUGGAGUUCCAGUGCGAUGGCUAUCGCUACUGGAUCGGCACGUUUGACUUCGUCAACAUGCCCGCGCGUGCGUACGAAAUCGCCAUGUGGCGUUUCUGACGGCCGAGGCGCGAGAUGAACUUUCCGGAGAUCGAGACUCAGGUAGACACGGAGCUAAUUGGGCCGGAGAAUCACAAUAUUUGGCGGAUGGACGAGAAUGAGGAGAAGAAGAACAAGAAGAAGCCAGUGAUUAUCGUUGCUCCCGGCAAUAGUGACGAGGCGGCAAAGGCGAGAUUCACGCGGGAGCAUCCGGAGUAUGUCCAGACCGAGCACGAGUUCUCUAGGAAGCGUGAGGCCGAGCAGCAAAAGAAGGCGGUGAGGAAGGAUGUGGAGGAGGCCGGCGCCUCGGCGGUGAUCCCCGUCUAGUCCGACUCGUCGGACUGGGAUGACUCGGAGGAGGACGAGUGCGACAACCCCAAGAAGAAGGUGUUCUGGGAGCAGUUCAAGAGCGACGGCGAGUAGGCUCGGAGUAGUAGUAGUUUGAUGCAUGUAGUAAUUUGAAGUAUGUUUAAUUAUGUUUAAUAACUAUGUUUGCUUCAAAUGAACUUGCUAUAUUUAAAGUUAUGUUUGGAAUAAUAUAGUAGUUGUACUAGUUUUACAUCUUCAAAUACAUCAUUUGGUGGAGUAGUAGUUUUACAUCACCAAAUAUACACAUCUCUUGAAGUUAGGACUUUUUAAAGAUGUAUAAAAAGAACUUUUUGUUGAUGUAAAUUAUACAUCACUUGCUUUUACAUCUUCUAAUGAAGAUGCUCUAAUGCUCCAAAUGCCCCUUCCGAAACAUACUCGCUUCGUCUCAAGUGUCAAAAAAAUGUCUUACACUUUGAGGCAAAGGGAGUAUUUGAAUGUGCAGUAGGACAAGAAGAUUGCAGAGAGGACCCUCGAGAACACAAGGCGACGAUGUUGCUGCAGUUCAGUUCUUGCUUCGCUGAUGAAUGAUGAUUGUGUUUGGUGUGUAAACAAUGCCGGGCGAAAGUCUUCCCUUCUAAUCUCAAGCUCAAGAGCUCCUGCUAUGAACAGUAAAAGUCUGAUUUUUUUACGACCAACACUGCUUAGUUUUCUAUGUGCAUGCAAAUUUCGUGAUGAAAUUACAUUCGUGGAGGUUUAGAAUUCUUUUCGCAAAAUCAGCAACUCAAAACGCUUUCAAAAAUAUUCUUUCUGGAGCAUUGAUUUUUCUUUUGACAGAGUAUUAGCAAUGUUAUUUUUUUCACAAAAUCAGCACUUUAGUAGUGAUCUAAACACUCUUAUAUUUCUUUACAGAGGGAGUAGAAUAUUCACCGAUGUUUGCUGGCAAAGAAAUCAUGUUUUUUAUUUUUUGUGUUACUGUUUGUUUCAAUUUAAUUGUUCACGAGGGUACAUGCAGAACUUAUAUUUCUACGAUGCUGCAAAGUGGUUUCAGUUCCCUUAAAAGUUGAAAAUUUUAGUCAGGAGGUCAUUGAUGUUUAUAUGCAAACAAUCCAUGUGCCUUCAUGAGAUGCUUGGUUCAUUUGGAGAUCCAGAUGAAAUUUUCGCGAGAGCAAUGACAGUGACGAUAAUCGAACCAGUUUGGGUUGCAGUAUUACUACUGAUUUUGCGAAAAGCAUUAUAAUACUCCUGUACAAAUACUACAAUUUGCAGUCAUUGAAGAAAUCAAUGAAAUUUUGUAGAAAAAAAAGGAGAAAAUAAGGAAAAGAAUGUUGAAUCAGAGCUGCCGAGGAGCAGGAUGGAGCUCAGCGGAGCGGUCGAGCUCGGCGAGCAUGGCCACCCGGUCCAUCUCGUACCCACACACGUCCAUGUCCCCGUCGCCGUCCCCCGACCAGUCCACCCUGCCCACCCGCAUCGUCUCCACGUCCACCGCGUACACCUGCGUCCUGCCGCCCCUGUUCCUCGCCGUGAAGAGCGCCACGCCGCUCUUCUCGCAGAACCACCUCAACCUCACCGCCUGCAGGCCCAUGAGCUCCGUGUUCAGCGUCCACCGCCACUCCUUCCUCCCCGACACGCCGCCGUUCCUCACCGCGUCGGCGUAGACGACCACGUAGGCGCGCACCGCGUCGGCCUUGCACUCCAGCACGCACAGCCUCCCGUCCGGCAUCAGCCCCAGCAGCCGGUCCACCUCGCUGCCGAGGGAGGCCUUGGCGCGGCGCGGCGGCGACUCGAAGGCCUGCACGGUGUAGCCAAAGCUGGACGUGUGCAGCGUGGCCGGGUUGACGGCGAUGCCGAGCCCGUACCAGCAGACGGCGCCGCCCCGCACCAGCGUCGCGUGCGCCCUGACGCCCAGCUGCCGCCCCCUCGCGAUCCGGGCGCCGGUCACCUCCACCUCCGGGCCCCAGCUGCCGUCCUCCGAGGAGUAGCGCCGGAGCGCCGUGUAGCUGCGGUGGUUGUAGAGGAGCAGCACGCGGUACGAGGACGAGGACGUGGACGUGGCCGCGCAUGCGUCGUACAGGUGGAGCCCGUCGUCGGCGGUGAGCAGGGCGCACGCGUACGGCCCCGGGCGGUCCUUGCCGGUCAGGGGCGGGAGCAGGUCGGCGUCGCCGGUCAUGGGGUCGCACACGCAGAGCCGCAGCACGCAGGCGCUCUUGGCGCGGCGGAGGUCCAUCACGACGCGGCCGUUGCGGGACGCGACGACGCGCGACGACGAGCCCGGCACGCCGCCGUCGGUGAUCGAGAGGUCGGGCUUCGUGAAGGGCACGAAGCCGUCGCCGUGCAGGAAGACGCCGACCGCGAGGCGGCGGGCGAAGCGGUCGCAGCGCGGGGGGCCGCGGCGGCAGAUGAAGGCGGCGUCGGAGGAGACGAGGCGGCGCCAGCGCCUGCAAGCGGCAGCGCAGCGGACGAGGUCCCCGGCGUCGGAGAGGGCGGAGAAGACGAGGAGCAGGGUCUCGUCGCACAGGGGCAGCGCCUGGUCGCCGUGCUCGGGCCCGUGCCGCUUGAACGGCCUGCGGCGGGCGGCGAGCCACCCUCUGCUCCCGCCUGCGGAGGGAUCCGUCCCUGCGGCGGUGGCCGGGCGUCGGCGGCGGCCGCAGCGGCGACGUGGCGGCCGUGACGGCGGCAUGAUGAUCGGCCGGUUGGGAUUUGGGGGAGAUCGAGCAAGGGUUUAGGGGGGCGUGUUUACAGAGGUAAUCGCCCAGAUCCGUAAAGGAAGAUCGCCAGAUUUUCCGUCUCAUGGGCCAGUUGGAUCUCCGUUUCACGUCAGAGAAAAAAAAGGACAAAGAAUCGAUGGGCCUGCCUGCCAAUGAUGAAGGCCCAUUGUGGCGUCCCAGCGGCCAGUGGCUGCUUGGUCCUCACUGGCCUAAAAAACACAAAAAAUGCCUCACUGCACUCAUCUCCAUCGCAAGUUCUCAACAACCUCCUCCUUCGCUCACAUUGCCAAAAUGCGUUUGAAAAUAAUAUUUUUGGAGCAUCGGUUUUGUUUUUUUGCCACAUUUUACACAAAUUUCAUCUGGCGAUGAAAUUUUGCAAGCUAUCAAAACAUUUGUCAAAGUUUCAUACAAAAAAAAUCAGAAUUUUCUAAAUUGUUAUCUUUUUAAUUUUAUUGUUCACCCAAGCUCACGUAAGCACGGGAUCAUAACAGCUGCAUAUGGAGAAAGAGGAAUACCAUCCCCUGAUUAUAGCAUGGUUAAUAGUAUAAUCAACUGCUAGUUAUAUGAUGUUGUAUCAUCACUUAUAGUCACUCAUACAACAAGUUUGGCUACAAGAGUAGUACUUCUUUUCACCUUCUUUCUAUCUCUUUCUUCAUAUGUAUUGUAUUUGCGUAGAAGUACGCAUAUAGUUAACUCUUGCAUGAGAACCAUUUCCGUCAUCUUCUAAUGUCUCUGUCCUUCAUAUAGGCAAAAAUGACCUAUAAGCGGGCUAUAAGCCCGACCUGUAAUUGCUUUGAUUAGAGUACAACUCUAACUCGUCAACUUAGGCACACCCCUUUUUCCCUAAAAAAAAGAAUAAGGAAAUUACCCUUCUCGAUCAUGUGCGAUGUUUUAUCCCUUCUUCCCCCAUGAUAAUUCUUACUAGCAUCCACGAAGUAAAUGGAUUUUAUCAAAAAAUUGAAGUAAAUGGAUUUUUAAAGAAGAGUAAUUAAGAUGUAGCAAAAAUUAUGCCUCGACUCGUCCAGAACAUGUUUCGAGAGUGUGUGCUAACCAAUCAACAGGACUUGGAAGCCGAUGUCCCCAUCGCAAAAAUUAUUUGAGAGCAUAAAGAAAGAAAUGUGCGCUGUUGGAUGAAUGAGCAACUAGUAUUCACUGAGGGCCAGAGGCCAGUACAUAUACAUGUGUGGCAAAGUGCAGAGAACCCCCUAUACAUUAGGGAUAUACAGACAAGAGACUAUACACAUCUAACACCCCCCCCCCCUCAAACUCAUAGUGGAUCAACAACACUGAGUUUGGAGAAAAGAAAGCUAUGUUGCGCUCGAGUUUGUGCCUUCGUGAAGAAGUCCGUCAAUUGUAACCCAGAGGGCACAUGAAGAGCAAGAAUCUAAUCUUGCACAGCAGCACGCACAAAGUGGGCAUCCACGCCGAUGUGCUUGGUGAGCUCAUGCUUCACCGGGCCACGCGCAAUACUGAUAACACCGGUACCGUCAGACAGUAAUGGAGUGGAAGUAGAAGCAGCCACACCAAAAUCCUCAAGUAACCAUCGUAACCAGAUCACCUCAGCCAUCAACAUAGCCAUUGCUCGCAACUCAGCCUCGGUGCUCGAGCGAGAAACUGCAGUCUGUUUCUUGAUCUUCCAGGCAAUAAGAGAGCCUCCAAGAAAGACACAGUAAGCAGACAGCGAGUGUCGAUCUGAGGGAUCACUAGCCCGAGUAGCAUCGGAGUAGGCCUGGAGCUCGAGAGAACUGGAGCGAGGGGAAAAGGCGAUGAGAGAUCGUGCCACGAAGAUAUCGUAGAACACGGAGGAGAUGACUAUAGUGGAUAGAGGUGGGGGCUGCAAGAAACUGACUCAGGAUGUGAACAGGAUGGGAUAUGUCAGGACGUGUAACAGCAAGAUAGACAAGGCUGCUAAUGAGGUGACGAUAGCGAGUGGGAUUAGGAAGAGGAUCACCAUCAGAGGCACGUAGCUGAAUGUUGAGGAGUCACAACAGUGCGCUCAUCACCGAGAGCGGCGCGGGCAAGAAGAUCCUGAAUAUAUUUUUCCUGAGAGAUGUAGAAGCCAUCAGAGGUCGAGGAGAUCUCAAUCCCAAGAAAAUAGCGAAGUAGACCAAGAUCGGACAUGAGAAACUGGUUGUGAAGGCGAGCCUUGACAAAGGCAAUAUAGUCAGAGUCGUCACCAGUGAUGAUCAUGUCAUCAACAUAGAGAAGGAGAAGAGUCUGACCACGAGAAGACGUGUGAACAAACAAUGUGGGAUCAUGGUCACUGGGCAAAAAGCCAGCGGCAGUCACCAUAGAGGCGAAGCUCUCAAACCAGGCGCGAGGGGCCUGUUUAAGACCAUAGAGGAAGCGGCGAAGGCGACAGACCAUGCCAUCAGGAGCAUAGUACCCCGGUGGUGGCUACAUAUACACCUCCCCACGUAACUCGCCAUUGAGAAAGGCGUUCUGGACAUCAAGUUGAGAGAUGGACCAAUUGCGAACAGAAGCCACAACAAGGAGAGUGCGGACAGUGGUCAUGUGAGCCACAGGAGCGAAUGUCUCAUCAUAAUCGCGUCCUUGCUCCUGCUGGAAACCACGGGCCACAAGACGAGCUUUGUAGCGCUCAAGAGAACCAUCGGAGCGAGUCUUAACUUUGUAGACCCACUUGCAAGUGAUGGGACGAACACCAGAAGGAGGAGAAACCAGAUCCCACGUGCCAUUGUGCUCAAGCGCCGCAAGCUCCUCGACCAUCACAAGCUACCAUUCAGGGUGAGUCAUGCCGGCCCGAUAGGUGGUGGGCUCAGCAAUGGCAGAAAGACCAUACCGGUCAGGAGAAUAGCGAUCAGGAGGAGGACAAGGCCUAACACGAAGGUUAUGGACCGACGUAGGCGUGAGAGGUGGUGCACCAAAAGUAGAGGCACAUCAGUAGGAUCAGCGCUAGCACGAGGACGACGAGUGUAGUAGUGAGGAAAAGGGGAGUGUGGGUGAAAGACUGGAGAGGAAGGUGGGGAGGGAGAUGAGGAGGAGGGAGGGGAUGGUGGUACCGGUGGUGUAGGGAGACUCCUCUGGGAGAGGGUAGAACAGAGGGCACAGAGGGAGAUGUGUCGGGAAGGAGAAGGAAGGAAAUAUCUUCCACGGAAAAGCUCGAGGAGGAGGGACGCGGAUAGUAAAAACGAGACUCAUCAAAAGUCACAUCACGCGAAAUGCGCAGUCGGCGACCAACAGGAUCCCAACAGCGAUAGCCCUUGUGCUCAUCACUAUAGCCAAGGAAAACACACUCAACUGGCUGAGCAGUCAACUUGGUUCGUUCUCGUGGAGCAAGAAGAACAUAGCACACGCACCCAAACAUACGAAGAGCGGAGUAGUCAGGAGAGCGAUCAGAGAGAUGCUCCAUAGGAAUACCACCCUUCAAGGCAACCGAUGGCUGAAUGUUGAUGAGGUGUGUGGAUGCGGAUACUGCCUCAGCCCAAAAAUGAGGUGGAAGAGAGGCGGCGAUCAUCAUUGCCCGAGCCGUCUCAAGCAAAUGGCGAUGUUUGCGUUCAGCAACGCCAUUCUGAGCAUGGGCACCAGGGCAAGAGAAUUGGGCAAGAGUGCCCUGCUCUGCAAGAAAACCACGCAACAUGUGAGAGAUAUACUCUCCAGAUGAGCCAGCACGGAAGAUACGGACAGACGUGGAAAAUUGAGUGCGAACAAUGGCAGCAAAACGCUUGUAUAUGGGGAGAACCUCGCUGCGAGAUUUCAUACAGUAAAGCCAAGUGUAGCGAGAGAAAUCAUCAAUAAAUAGAACAUAGUAGCGAUGACCCCCUUUCGAGUCAAAAGGAGCAGGACCCCAUACAACAGAAUGAACUAAGUCAAAAGGACGCUGAGAUACAGACUCACUGGUAGGAUAAGGUAACUGGGUCUGUUUGUCAAGCCUACAACCAUCACAAUGCAACGAAACAUCACCAGAGACAGACCCUAAGAUGCCUUGGUGUACUAAUGAGGAUAAGCGAGAGCCACAGAUGUGACCAAGUCGAUGAUGCCACUGCUGGAAGGACACAAAAGAGGAGGCAGCAAGAGCAUGGGAGCUGGCGUAUGUGGUAGCAGCGGAAGGAACACGAAGCCAGUCAACCUCCCAAAGGCCCUCAGACUCACGGCGCCGAGGGCCAGCGCCAACCAGAGCCUGAGUGCGACGAUCCUGAACAGAACAAGAGUCAGCAUCAAGAAUGACACGACAACCAGAAUCAGUAAGUUGGGCAGCGGAAAAGAGAUUCAUGGUAAGACGAGGAACAUGAGAAACACUAGGAACCGAGAAAGAUGGAGUGGAAAGGAUGCCAUGACUAGCAGCAGGAAGAGGUGUGCCAUCGGCCGUGAAAACAUUAAGAGGAAAACCAGGAGGACGAAGAGAAGAUAAAACAGAAGAAUCAGAAGACAUAUGAAAAGAAGCUCCAGAAUCCAGAACUCACGAGGAUGUACCUGUCUGAGUAGGCUCCAGCGGGGGCAGAGUGGUGGUGGCUGUCACGACGGCAACAGAACCCGUCAAGGAAGAACCGGAUGAUGCCAACAUGCGCUUGAGCCGCAGAAUAUCCUGGUCAGUAAGCGACGCAGUCGAGGAAGACGCACGAGUCCCACUAGAUGAAGAGCGCUUCAGGUCUCUCCGCUUCUUGUGACAAUCUGAUUCUGGGUGACCUGGCCUGUUGCAGUAGCCACAGAAGGUGUGCGAGCACGACCGACCCUCUCCUGAAGGAGGGUGAAACGCCCCCCUGGAGGUGUGGGCAGGAGCGGUGGAGUAGUGAGGUGAGCAGACAACACAAGAGCUUGGGCAGCAAGAACAGUGGGAACCACAAGCAGAUCAGCGGACCGAAGAUGUGUCUCCUCAGCACGAAGCUCGGCAAGCACCUCCGAAAUAGGAACACGACCACGAGCAAGCAGGUGAGCACGCCGAGGCUCAAACUUUGAGCGAAGGCGAGGUAGGAACUCGUGGAGACGAUGAAACUCCAAGUCUGACCGCACAGUCUGACAACAGCGGCAAGUACCACAAACCACAGUCUGGAGAGAGUCAAGCUGACGCCAGAUGGCAGAGCUCUGGGAGUAGAACUCAUCAAUAGAAGAGUCACCCUGCUGCAGAGCAUGCUCCUGACGCACCACAGAUAGGUAGAGAGCAUCACCAGAUGGCUGAUAUCGGUGACAAAGAUAGGUCCGCAUCGCAGCAACAGUACCAAGACCCAUGAACUCAGACGCAGACUGGGGUAAGACACUCGCAGUGAGAACCGGAGCCGCUCGAGCAUCAUCGUUGCACCACUGAGUGUAAGCAGACAGAUCAUCCCGGUAAACAGAAAGAGCAUCUGAGUAAGCGGAUACCUGCUGAUCAUAAGCAUCCAUCGCAACAUCAUCAAGGGCCUUGGCUGCAUCCCGAUCAGCCUGAGAAGCGUCGGCAGCAAGAACAGGCGGGACCGGUGGGAUAGGAGCCACAGGAGCAACAUGACAUGGCGGACAGGGGACCUCGCCAGAGAAAACGCCCCACAGGAGAAGACCGCGCAUGUGGAUGCACAUGAAACCCACAAACUCAGCAUAGUUGGUGUCAUCGAAGAUCACCGUGCACCGAGGGACAACCACAUAUCCCGAGGAAGACAUGGUGAGCCUUUUUUUGGUCAACUGCUACAGUGCGCCCGAUCUAGAUCAGGCAGACCCGCUCACGAGGGGAACGAAGCGGGGCUCGAGCAAAUCGAGCGGACAAGGUGGCCAAGCGACAGCUGAAGGCCACGACCAGGAGGAGAUCGCAGCUUGGGCUGCAGAUCCAGAUUGAGGGCCCAUCCAGGCGGGAAGCAGCACCAGGCAAGAGCGGCCGGGACACCGGGCGAGAGCUGCCGGGCUGGGGCGACGUCCAGGCAGAGGCGGGCGGUGGCCAGGUGCAGCAGCAGGGCGGCCAACCGGCAAAGCAGGAAGCAGGGGCGCCCGAUCGGGCGGAGUAGGACAAGGCCGCCUCGAGCGCCGACGGCUAGGGCGCAGCAGGAGCGGGCGCCGGAUCCAGCCGAUCCAGCCGGACGGAAGGAGUCGGGCUUGGCCAAGAGAGAGACGGCCGGUGACGUACGGGAAACAGCCGGAAUCGAGGUGAGCUAGGAGUGGCGCGCACGGAGUUGCAUCGUGCGGGAGAGCGAUGCUAACCUAACAUCUGAUACCAUGUUGGAUGAAUGAGCAACUAGUAUUCACUGAGGGUCAGAGGCCAGUACAUAUACAUGUGUGGCAAAGUGCAGAGAACCCCUUAUACAUUGAGGAUAUACAGACAAGAGACUAUACACAUCUAACAUGCGCUAACACAGGAAGAAGGAUAUAUCUGGUGCAGAAAGUAUCAGGGGCCACAAGAGCUUGAUGAAGAUUGUUGAUGGCGCGACAAAGACAAGUUAUGCAUAAACCUUGUAUAUUCUUUCUUUUUUGCGGGGUCAUAAAUCUUGGAUGUUCAAUCCAAUAAUUAAUUAGGGUACACUUAAGAGAUUUUAUAGAGUAGGGUGGGGGGGGGGGGGCAGUGGCCCCCUUUGGCCCAUGAAGCUCCGCCACUGCACCAAACCAUAUAUGCUCCCAAUUUGAAGAAAUUCAAAUUUGAACAUUCUGAAAAAAUCUAUAAAAAGUAUGGACGUUGGCAACACAUACGUAUACAAUCCCUAAAAAACUCAGAUCCAAAAUCUAAAUAUACGUUGAGGAAUAUAAAAGACAAAUCCAUCAUGGUUAGUGUAAAGCUAAGACACAAGCAAAAUGACAUAUUCAUACAUGAAUUUCUCCUUUUUGUUUCUUCAUGUGCGAAUUUUUGGGGGCUGUGCACGCUUGUCCUGUGAGCACACAUUCCCCUCCAAUGAAUUUUUAGAAACAAUUGUGUCGCGGCAUAUUUAGAGAUAUCUAGCUAUUGAAGACAAGGCUAAGUAAGAAUAACGAAUUGCACGUCAUUUUUUUUAUUGUCCUUUCUAAAUUACGUUACAGCCACAAGAUAGUCCUAUCAACAAUGACCCCGCGCAAAGAUGUUAAGUAAGACAUGCUCUAAGGACUGAUAUAAUUGGAUAUUUUUUUUCCAUGUCCGGUGAAACCAUGCAACGUACAACUAUGCAAAGGACAGGUUUUGGGUCUUCCCUGGCGGCGCCUCAACUGCUCCAAUGGGCAUAUAUAUGCCUAUAUAUGGUGCUUUGUUAAGUCCGUCGUCCGGUAGCACGACAUCGCUGACGCACCAAUUGAGGAAUCGAUGCAAAAAAAAAACAUUGAGGAACGGAAUAGGAAUAUGCGACGCGGUACUGUUUUGCCGGCCCUGAUCUUCCCUGUCGGUGCUGACUUUUGUCAUCUGUUCUUUGUAAAAAAUGUAACGCGGAUUAUCAGCCAAUUUCGCUACAGUUGUAGUAAGAUCUUAAAAGGCGUUUAACAUGAGCAGCAUUUCUCUGCCAUGUACUCUCUCCGUUCCCAAAAAUAUAAGUCUUUUUAAAGAUUUCAAUAAAUGACCACAUACUGUACAAAAUUAGUGAAUCUACAUUUUAAAAUAUGUCUAUAUACAUCCGUAUAUUGUAGUCCAUUUGAAUUGUCUAAAAAGACUUAUAUUUAGAAAGGGAGGCAGUACGUACUGUAGUAGCAAUGGCACUCAAAAAAUAGAUCAUAACAAACAAAACCUAGUAGCAAUGGCACUCCAAAAAUAGAUCAUAACAAACAAAACCGUCAAGCAUUUGAGCUUCACAUACAUAUAAGAGACUGAAAGCUUCAACCGCCAAACGAUACUGCUCAGGUACAGAGCAGCUAAUAGACAGUGGCCGGGGAAGAACACAAGGGGCUGGUGGAAAUCAUCAUAACAACAUGCAACAAGGAGCAAAGGAAAAUCAGCUCAAGAGAUUAUACAACCAUGGCUGGAACUCACAAACAUUACAACACGCACAAUUGCUAGCACAACAAUCAAAUACGUAUAUAUGUAAAUGAAAGCAAGAUCUUGCACAAAAGCAAACACAGCACAGUAAAAAUAACCACCGUGGGAUGCCAGAAAUAUAUCAUCUAAGUUUAACAUCUGUUACAUCACCACAACCAUCAUCAAAACCACAGUCUCAGUAGCACCACAUACAAACAACAAGAUAGUAAGGAAGACACAUAGGGAGAAAAAUACCGCGCCUCCCUUCACAGCAACAGCCAGCAGCAAAACAUGACCCAAAGUUUAGAGCUUGUCCUCGAAAUCGGAUAGGGGGGUCAUCUGCUCCUUGAGACCCUUCCUCUUGCGGAUCUCCGUCACGAGCGUCGCCGACUGGGUGCCGGGGUCCAAAGGAUCGGAGGCCAUGAUGUCCCAGUGGUCAAACACGCACUGGGGGAAGGCCUGGCCGGACGUCGCGGCCCUCAGGGUGCUCGAGAACCCGAAGGACUCGAUGACGGGCAGGUAGGCCUUGAUGUUGUAGAGUGGGGUACCUUGCCUCUGCAUCUCCUCGAACACGUGCCCUCUCUUCUGAUUCAGCACACCAUAGAUACCACCAAGUGCGUUCUCCGGGGCCUGGAUCUCAACCAGGUACACGGGCUCCAGCAGCCUUGGCUUGGCAGUGAGCUGAGAAGCGUAAAUGACCCUCCUCGCCGUUGGGAUGACCUGACCACCACCCCUGUGAAUAGCAUCAGUGUGGAGAACAACAUCACAGACCUCAUAGCAGAUGCCGCGCAUGUUCUCCUCACAUAGUGCUCCUUCUUUUGAUGCCCACUGGAACCCAGCCACAACAGAGUCCUUGAUUUCAUUCAGGUACUGCACUCCCUUACACAUGUCCACAACCAUGUUGGGGCCAGUCGUCUCAGGUCCAAAGCACCAAAUCUUCUUGGCGAGAUCCUUGUCCCAACCAAACUCCUCAGACAGGAUCUUGGAGCGCACCUUAGGAUCAUCACGCGGGCCAAUGCGGCCAUCAUCAAUAGCCUCAGCCAAUCCCUCCUCCAAUGGGCGAGCUUCCAUGUAAAGACGGUUAUGCUUGUUGGGGGACUUGCUCAUAACGGUACGGCAGGACUUCUCCAGAACAGUCUCACGGAAGGAGACGACAGGGGGGGAAACAAUGAUUUCAGCACCACCCAUGAAGUCAUCCUGCAGAUCCUUCAAGCAGAUUUCAAGAUGAAGCUCUCCGGCUCCAGCGAUGAUAUGCUCACCAGACUCUUCAAUGGUACAGAGAACCAUAGGAUCAGACUUGGCCAGACGCUUCAAACCCUCAACAAGCUUAGGAAGAUCAGAAGCCACCUUGCACUGAACAGCAACACGUACAACAGGGGACACAGAGAACUUCAUUGCCCUGAUUGGGCAGGCAUCAACUUCCUUCUCGUUUGUCAGGGUUGCAUUCUUGGUGAUGAACUGAUCCAAACCAACCAAAGCAACGGUGUUACCACAGGGAACAUCCUCAACAGACUCUUGCUUCUUUCCCAUCCAGAUAACAGUCCGCUGGACACUCUUCACAUAUAGAUCCUUCUUCUGGCCAGGAACAAAGUUGGGACCCAUGAUACGGACCUUCAUGCCAGUUGCGACCCUCCCGGCGAAAACACGUCCAAAGGCAAAGAAUCUACCCUUGUCAGAUGCUGGAAUCAUCUUGGAGACAUACAGCAUAAGAGGACCUUCAGGGUCACAGUUUCUGAUGGCAUUUGCAUAUAUGUCAUCAAGGGGGCCCUCGUACAAGUUCUCCACACGAUACCUCUGUGCCUUUGAAGGAGAGGGGAGGUGAAAUAUCAUCAUCUCAAGCAGAGCACGACUGGCAGGCAGCCAAGUUUGCAUCACACGCUUCAUGAGAGCCUUGCCCAUCAAGUCCUUCUCAUCAUUCUUCAUGGUCACACCAAGCUUCUUCAACAUAGGCCACAACUUAUCCUUCUGGUCAUUCAUGCAGGUUGCUAUGAUUUGCUUGAUUGGCUCAUAGCAGAACUGAACGAAACCUCUCUUGCAGGUAGCUGUCCCAGUGUUCUUGGAGGUCCAUUUCUUUGUGGCUGGGUCAAAGAAGUUCUCACCCCACAGCCUCUCCAUCAUCUUCACCUCAUCAACACCAAACUUGGAGGCAUACAUCUUAGCAAAGUUUGUAAGGGUGAAAGCCCACCCAUGCAAACCAGCAGAGAAUGCAACAGUACCCUUCUCUGGGUACACUUGGACAUCACCAAGGAGCACAUCUUCAUAUGUUGCCAUGAUGACAUUGGCAUUUUCGAUGACACGGGAGAAAGUCUGAUAUGCUUCCUCACCUUCAAACUGAAGCUCAAGGAAGCAUCUGUCCAUCUUGUUCACAGUAAGAACAGGCCUAAUCCUCUCACCAAGAGCUUGGCGCAGCACAGUUUCAGUCUGCACACAGACACCCUCAAUGCAGUCAACAACCACCAAAGCACCAUCAGUGAUACGAAGAGCAGCUGUGACUUCCGAAGAAAAGUCAACGUGGCCAGGUGAAUCAAUAAGGUUGAUCAGGUAUUCAUCUCCAUCCCUGUCGCCCUUGUACAUCUCAAGUGAUUCAGGAGUCAUCUGAUAGAAAAGAGAGAUACCCGUGGAUUUGAUUGUAAUACCACGCUCUGCCUCAUCUGCACGGGUAUCAGUCAUGCGAACAUCCCCAGCAACUUCCUGGGCGAUAAUCCCAGCAGCUGCCACAAGGGAAUCCGUAAGCGUAGACUUGCCUGCAAAUAUGUAAAUAAUAUGUGAGAACAAUGCACAAGCAUCUGGUUUGACAGUUGAACACAACCUAUAUGAAUAGAAAAUUGAACAUGUUAACUCAUACAGUAUAAGGCAGAAGUAGGACAGAGCAGUACAGUACUUUCAAACAAUCAAGAAACAAAAGAAGGUACAAAUAAGCUCAACAAGGUUUUUAGUAACAUGGUUAAGCAAAAUCUAGUGGGACAUUGCAAACAAAAUAUGAAGACAUCAAUAUUGAAGUAACUAAGUACAAUCAUGUAAAUUUAAGAUCCUAUGCAGUGUAAUACAUUCAGGGACAAUGUGAGAAUACACCAAACUGGGAGAUACUAGGCCUGGGAUAUUAUGUCAAUAGUACCAUUUAAGCUUGGUGAAGCAGAAAUCAAUCAUAUAAUAAGCAGUGGUGAAGCAGAAAUCAAUCAUAUAAUAAGCAGUAGUAGUAAACUCCAGGACACAAUAAGAUGGAUUGGUUUUAGGGAUGAAACUAAUUAUGGCCCACUUCUUAAAUUGACCCAUUUAAAUAGUCUCAGUAUUUCGAAUUAAAUAGAGUAAAAUUAAGAGCAGGCUACAAAAACAUUGGUUAACAAAGAUUCUACUGUAUGAACUCAAUAAUUAGAGACAACUGUCUGUUUAGGCACAUACCGUGGUCGACAUGAGCAAUAACAGACAUGUUACGAAUAUUAUUUUUCUUGUCCAUAAUUCCGCGGAGCUCCUCCGCUGUAAACUUCACCAUCUUGACUGGUUUUGGAUAUCACACUGGGAAUAUAGUUCCUGUUCAGAAUGGACCAAAAAUCAAGUAAUUAAAACCACAAUUGAAUAAUCAGAAGGCUCUUACUACAGUUGGGCACGCAUUAGUUUCAAGUGCAGUCAACCAAGCAUAUUAAAACUAACAUAUGGGAACCGAAGACCAAGUUCUGAAAACUUAAUUGUCCAAAGUGCACUAAAAAGGAAGCCAGAAAGCAACGAUGGCAACCAAUUUUGAGAGCACUCGACAUGACAGUGUGCGAAAGAAAGCACAAAACAGUAAGAAAGAUAAGAAAGAAAAGCAGUCUAUUAUGUAGAGUGUGCACAAGUAUGAAGCACAAUCAGGCAACGGAUAUCACUAGCUAAACCUGUAUAACUUAUGAGGAUCACAGAAAACUUCGCAGGAAUCAACCAUAUGUGAAUGGAAAAGAAGAGUAGGUCUGAAACAGAAUCGUGGUUUUAUGCAAAGUUGAUUUGUAACAGAAGGGUAGUUUUAUGCACACGUGCUGACUGUACUAGCAUGUACACUACCAGUGUAAACACUAGAAACAAUGGAAGCACAGAAGGUCAUAAUGUUGAGCUCUGAAAUAGGUGCGACCAACCAUGCAUGGGGAGCACUGAGAAGAAUACCAGAAGAUAGCCACAUAUGAUCAAUUUAACCAAAUGAAAGAGAUCAGGGAUAAAUUCACCCAUAAUACCUCAACUAUAAGUACAUAAAAACUGGCACACCCCGAUACAAGAGUCUCCCGUUCUUUCUUUUUUUUUGAAAUAAAUACAAGAGUCUCCCGUUCUAUAUACACAUAGUUAUAUUAAAUUAAGCAUGCCAAGCAAAGAUGUGCAUCACCAUUUCCUCCGCCCUGAACAUGAAGACAGAGAACAAAACCAACCAGGCUACGACAGGCAGGCAAGCAAGCGAGCAAAACCCUACAGCUUGAGCAUUCUAAGAACCCCGUGGACGAACAGCAGCGCAGAAAAAAAUCGCCGAAAAAGCUAGCAGAGCACCAGAUGAAACAGAUCGCCGUCUACCACGGCGGAGCGGGCAGAUCCACGGUAAACACGGCGGGAGGAACACCCUUAGCUACCACAGAAGCACAUCGGAGGCGACGAGCUUAUGUAUCUAGUGACGUCAGCGCAAAGUCGUCGCCAGGAACAAGCGAGCGGGACGAACCAAGCAGCAGAUCUAACGCAUCUAAGAGCAGCGAGACCGCAUAGGAAUAAUCCCGGCGACCACGAGCCCAGCAAAGGGGACCGGAGCGCAUCGAGCUAGCGAGGAGACUGAGCCGGUGAAAUCGGUCGGCUAGGUAGCAGCUAGCUGCCUAGCACGGGCGCGCCCGCCGACGGAGCAGCCGGAGGGCGGCGGAAGGGGAGAGGAGAGGGGAGGUCCGGCUCACCUUGCGGGUUCGCCGAGAGAUGAGAGGUGGGGAAGCGGCGGCGCUCCCGAUCCGUGAGAAUGGAAAGGGUUCAAGGAAGUGAGCACGCUAGGUCGCAUUUGCUGGCCGUUAUAUACGCUAUUUUUGUUGGUUCCGUGCGGGCCAAGAUGCGCGGGGAGUGGAACUUUCCAAGGCCGGCCACGCGAAAUGCGGCCCGCAAGUGAAGCCGGCCUGUCCGGCGUCCACUGUGGUGGAGUCCGGCCCAAAGGGGAUGAUGGCCAGGCGUGGUGAGAAUUUCGGAAGUUGUCGGAGCGAAAGCUCCGAAGCGCCAUCAAAUGGCGAGGAAGCUUUCGGAAAACCUCUAACCACCUAGGAGCCCAAUCUUCAAAAGUAACAAGUGUUGGGUUUGAUGAAAAAAUGUAUGUUGGGUCUUGCUCUCUCUAUCACCAAAGAAUCAACAGGUUUGGGCGCACAUUUUUCAGAAACCAUGCUCAGUUUAGACUUCAUUGAAAGAUGGGUUUAAAUAAAGCAACCACGAAGAUUUUGGAUGGAGUGGUAAUAUUUGAACCUUGAUGUGUGACACGAACACAUGGCAACUCCGAAUGUUUUUUAUGACAAAUGUAGUGACGCGGGGAUGGCAACUUCAUAAGUCAAGCAUGGCCACUUGCUUUUUGGAUGGUAAGUUUCGGUUUUUUCUGGGUUUCUUUUUUUCUUUCUAGAUGACAAUUUCAGCAGUUGUAAAAAACGUGAGGGCAAGAGUGCUUCGUGCCACAUGUGUGGCACUUAUUAUUUAGGUGACAUGUUGUUGGAAUCACGCUCAAACUAAGCUUCGUCCAAAGAUGGUCCAAAGAUGAGUGCGGCCAAUCAAAAUUAGUGUUAGCUCUACCACAUUAUAUCUUCCUUUUUAGUGGAGAAUUUGAUGGAGGAGCUGCAGCCCUAUUUCCCCGUAUUAUUUCUGUUAGCAAUUGAAGGUUUUGUCUUGUCUUUUGAAAAGUAUUGGAAUUUCAUAAAAGAAAAGAAAAAACAUCUAUGCAGCGGCCAAAACACCCUGACCAAGGCCAAUCAUCUCUUAUCGAUAUUUACGAACAUUGUGUCCAAAUUAGGAAACUAGACUAGGAUCACUUCAUGUAUACCUGUUUGGUUUGCAGCGUAAGGUUUUAACGCUUAUUCUUAGUAGUGCCACAACAUCUUAGGAAUGUGUUUGAUUUAUUGCCACACUUUUCUAGCUACAAGGUUCACAUGUCAUAGGCUCACUUUUUGCUUAAUCUUGCAACACUUAUAGUCACCAUUUUAUUAACCACAUUUUUUGUGACAGCCACACUUUGUCUAAGCUUAAUACUUCCUCCAUCACGGUUUAGAAGGCACAGUUAAAUUUGCGUACGUUUUCACAAUAAACAAGGUUUAGAGCGCAUUGCAUUUAUUUCUAGUAGCUAAUUACUACUCCGAUAUACUAUUUCUAUAUGCAUGCGUAGUGUGAAUGCUAUUUUUUAGCCCAUCCCACAACCAAUAGAUAACCACCUAGGUCCCAGAGAAUUUUCAAGCGCGUCUUCUAAACCAUGACGGAGGGAGUAGUGGUUAAGUUAGUCAUGAAAACAAGUCAUGAAACGGCAUCCUAUGUUUCAGCAAAAAAAACUAAAAGGUUGAAGCUUGCUUGCAAGUGUCAUAAUUACAUAGAGCCUAUGUGUAUAACUAUUAAGCACAUGUGCAUCCAGUAACAGUCAUAAGAAAUAUAGCAAACAAAUCUAUUAUAUGCCUAAAUUUACUGAACAACUUCACAACUCAAUUUUGCUACAAACCUGGAAUAAGAGAAGUUACUGAGCAUGAGAAUUAUGCGAAUAUUCUAUUAUGCCUACAAAGGUUCAAUCUGUAAUAUUCCAAAAACAUAAGUUCGGAUACUCUCAGCGUUAACAGAUGCUUCUACUACAGUAUUUCUCUUAGGUCCAAUUUUUUUCCGCUCAAACAGAUGUAUCUUAGCACACAGUAGGGAGCAAUUUCUCAUCAUCAGUGUGUCCACAAAAUUGUAGGGCAUGAAAUGGAGAAUUGUGUACUGUAUACAAACUGCAGCAUAAACAAGUGCAGUAAGUUUUUGAGCAUAGAUUACAACUGCCAAAAGAUGGAACACAUUUUGAUGGUCAUCAAAUCAGGAAGGUAAAAUGAGAUCGAAAAACUGCAAGCAGAGCUCUCAAGAUCAUGAAAAAUAUAGAGCAAGACUGGAGCAAUAAAGAACCAGGCAGAGCUCUCAAGAUCAACACAAAAGCAAACACAAGACGCCAACAAGAACUACCAAUGGAUAACAGAUACUUGUAUAAUCUAAGCUUUAACAUCGACAGACAUCAAAACGAAGUGCCAGUAUCACGACAGAUAUAUAAUCUAAGUUUUAACAUCGACAGACAUCAAAACAAAGUGCCAGUAUCACGACCGAUAGGAAUCCCAAUAGCAGUACAGCGACGACUCAAUAGACAGAUAAUAGUGCAGCUCUCUUAGCAGCAAAAGCAAACUAGACCAUGUAACAGAAGCAAAAGUUCAGAGCUUGUCCUCGAAAUCAGAUAGAGGGGUCAUCUGUUCCUUCAGGCCCUUGCGCUUGCGGAUCUCCGUGACAAGUGUGGCAGACUGGGAGCCGGCCUCCAAAGGAUCAGAAGACAUGAUGUCCCAAUGGUCGAACACACACUGGGGGAAAGCCUGGCCGGAUGUCGCCGCCCUGAGGGUACUUGAGAACCCGAACGACUCGAUGACCGGGAGGUAAGCCUUGAUGUUGUACAGCGGGGUACCAGGCCUCUGCAUCUCCUCAAACACAUGCCCUCUCUUCUGAUUCAGAACACCAUAGAUACCACCGAGUGCAUUCUCCGGGGCCUGGAUCUCAACCAG